CCGCUCCAAGCAAGGAAACAUGAUCGUCUUUGUUUCCGCCAUCGCUGUCCAUUCUUCUAGACUUUCCAUCCCACUUAAGGUGAAUUUUUUCAAUGCAGGAAAGACCUUGAUCACCUUAUUCAUACCAUCAACACCUUCGUUGCAAUAAAAUUCAUUACCCAUGCGUUUCACUUUCUUCAGAUUUCUCAACUUAAGAUACUGGAGAUUGUGCAAUUGGCCCAGAGGUGGAAGACUUUCACAGUUGAUGCCAUUGAAAAUGUUCAGCUCCAUCAAAUUGUUAGCAAAAACUGAUCAGUAUUAGAAUCACCAACAGGUCUUAACAUCCAUGAGGGAAAGCUUUCACCUUCAUAAUUCCUAACAAUUAAGCUUUGCAAAUUUGAGUGAGGUUGGAGACCUUCCAUCACUUCCUCACUGUUAUAACCACCACUCCCACCAUGACUCACUUCAAAACCAAAUAUCAACUUGCACAAUUUUCCUUUAAGGCGUAGAUUUGCUCCAUUAGCCUCUUGUUUGUCUCUAACACCCCGAAGAUGGCAUAUCUUCAGUUCUCCACGCAGUUUGUUUAGGGAUCCUAACUCCUUAAUCGAACGUCCCCUUUCUGAUCCCACAAAAAAUAUGGGUAAUGUUUGAAGACAAGUUAGGUUUCCAAUAUUAACUGGCUGAAGUUCUUUUCUAUCAAAAUACAAGUGCUUCAAGCUUAUCAAAAUUUCCAAUCCAUCUGGAAGUGUGAGUCCCGGUAAACCCAAGAGCCUCAAUGUUUGCAGAUUGUAAAGUUUGGUUGUGGACUUAGGCAGUGCUUUGAUAGAAGUCCUUGAGAUGUCCAAAUACCUCAAGUGCUUUAAUUCUCCAAGGGAAUCUGGCAACUCACAAAUAUUAGCAGCACCAACAAACUUUAGGACUCUUAAUCUUGUGAAGCUUUUUGGCAGUUUCUUGAACACAUCAAUCUCUGAAAACAACGAGUAUAAUUUUGGAGCAACCACCGUUAAAAUUUCUGGUAAUGAUUCCCCAUUACACCCAACAUUGAGAUGACGAAUAUGAGAACACUCAUUCGAGGCGAGAGUGGAAUUCUCUUGAAAAAACAAAGUAUCAAACUUUGACACAGACAAAGAUAAAUCAUGCACCGAGUCGUGCAUCUUGAAUGUGAGAAUAUUCCCAAAUUUGUCCUUCUCGACAUCUUGAAAUAAGGAAUUUGAUAACAACUCAUUCAAGUAUUUGUCACCAAUAUCCACCAUUGCCAUAGAGCUGCCAAGAAAUACUUCAGCCAUCCACAGUUGGAUCAAUUCCUCUUUUUCAAAGAAAUAAUCUUUAGGAAACAUGGCAGAGUAUGCAAAACACUUCUUCAAAGGUGGAGAAGACAAGUGAUCGAAACUUAACUUUAACACCCUUUCCAUUGAACCCGAUGCAUCACUUCUUUGAAUUUUCGACCAUGCGCAAGGACUCCUUUCGAUUUUGCGCAUUAUCCCUCCCAUAAGUUUAGCUACCAAUGGCACACCUCGACAUUGCUUAGCAAUUUCAUUUCCAAUUAACUCUAAUUCGUGAGACAUUGGAGAGGCCCUUAGUGCUUGUUGUUUUAUUAGGGACCAGCAUUCUUCAUCUCCUAGUCUUCCUGGUUGAUGCCUUUGAUUUGGAAGUGCUUGCACUUUUGACGCUACAUCUUGAAUGCGUGUUGUCACAAUAACUCCAUUCCCACCAUUUUUACUGAUUUCCAUCAGAUGAUCCUUCAGUGCGUCCCAUUUUUCAAAACUCCACACAUCAUCAAGUACAAGAAGAUACUUGAUCUGAUCCUUUUCUCGUUUGGCCCGUUCAAUCUUCUCCUUGAGUUUCUCAACCAUUGCAUUCAUAUUUUGAGGAAUUGAGAUCUGAUCAUCAGUAAAAUGCUCUAACAUCUCUUUUAAAAUCCUCUUGACAUCAAAAUGAUCAGAAACACACACCCAGAAUUUGACAUCGAAAUGUGCUGCCACAUUCGAAUCAUUGUACACCAGCUUUGCUAAAGUAGUUUUGCCAAGACCUGCCAUGCCUACUAUUGGCACAAAAGAAACAAUCUGUUCAUCUUUGGGAUUGACUAACAGGUCAACUACUUUUGAGACAUCAUUUUUCCUUCCAAUAAUGUCUAAGCCCGUGAGGACGGAGCUCGUCUCCUCCUCUCGUCGUCCAUACUCAGGAUCUGGAUCGGUAGCUCUCUUUUGGAGACCAAAAUCAGUGGCCAAUUUGUUAAGGUCAUCCAGUGUUUUAAGGAUGUCCUUAAUUUUAUUAGCCAUGUUGCGACGAAAUACAAAGGGAUUGGAGGGAGAACAAAAGUCUCGUACCUUCCUCCUAAUUUGGUUUCGAAUCUCCACUUUCCUUCGGAGAAUUUCAUAAGCAAACUCAUCAAGGACAUCAUCGGCCUCGUAAGCAACAUCUUUGAGCCUAUGUAACCAAACCUUCACUGCUUCGUUCUUUGUUUGCCUUUCCUCUGCAUCUUGAAAGAAAGCUUUGAUCAGUUGUAGUGAGUCACCCAGUCUUUUCAGCUCCUUCUUGAAACCCAAUGCAAGGCCGAUUCGUUCAGCGGCAAUAGAAAUCAGUUUAGACACCACUCCUUCUAGGACAGCAGCCAAAAGAGCUUCUGCCAUCUUUGCUUCUGCAAUCUGAAAGGUCUGAAAUGUAAGGAAAUAUUUUUUCUUUAAAAAAUCCCACUCGAAAUAAAGAGGAAAAGAAGAAAUUCGUAACUCGGAAAAUUAAAGCAACAGGAUACUGAGUCCAGGAAAUGAAAUAGAGCUGAAGAUGAACUGGUUCAGUAAAAGUGAACUGAAUUGUGUUUUGUGUAUUAAAUAUAUGACAUUGUUUUGGGAUUUUUAGAACAUAUAAGCUUAUUGGGUGGGCCGUGUUUGAAAUUGGGCUUGAUUUUUUAAAAUUGUUGCAAUCCGAUCCAUAAACACUUACUAAAAAAAUAAGAAUUGGUGGCAAAGAAGUAGAACAAUGGGUGUAAAGAGAGCUAGGUGUGAAGUACAUAAGUGGUUAUUAUAUUUUUGUUAUUAAAUAUGUAUAAGUAUUUGUGUAAUUAAUUUCUAAUUGAUAUACUAAUUAAAAACUAAUAUUAAUGUACAAAAAUUACAUAUUAGGAUUAUGAUCAUUUAAAUUACUUUAUAGAUAAUUUUUUUUGACAUCUUAUUUUUUAGAAAAGAAAGUGAUCUAUUUUAAAAUAUUAUUAUGUUAAUUUGAAACAUAAAAAUAAUAAGAUUUAAGUAUUUCAACAUAUCAUAAAUUCGAGUAUAAUUUUACAUCUAUUUUUUUAUUUUUUAUGAUCUGACUAGAUAGUUUCUAGUUAAUUAAUAAUAAAGUAAUGGUUUAAUUAAUUCAACUAAUGAAAAAUAAUCAAAAUUGUUUGUGAGCAUACGAAAACUGAAAACCUGAAAAACUAGUAAAAACUUGAAACAAAUAUAUAUUAUUUUAAUAUAAUAUAGUAAUUCAGCUCGAAUUUAUAAAAACUUUUAAAUUAUUUUUGAGAGAUUUUAAUGGGUAGAUAACAUUGGUCACAUCAUUAAAUUUUAACAGGAUUUAGGUUUAGGGACCAAACCGAAAUUAGUUGUCAACUUCAAGUACCAAAGUGGACCAAUAAAAAAUACAGAUAUCAAAAUAGACUAGGGUAAAAAUUAUAUUAUCCCUUACAGAUAUUGUAGGGGAUGUUUAAUUACAUCAAUUUCUUUGAUGUUUAAUUACAUAGAAUAGCUGUCGACAAAGAAGCAACUUUUUAGUUACAAUCUAAAAAUCAUAGAAUUUAGUUCUAAUUAAAAGUUGGCUUAAUAAUCACUUUAGUUCUUGAACACGAGAUCAUUGUCUUUUGGAAUGAUAUCACUUACAGUAGUUGUUUUAUAAUUUAAUCAAUCGAAAUUUAUAUUUAGUAGAUUUUUUAAGUGAUAAAUUUAGAUAAUAUUUUUCAUAUUAUUUUAAUUAAAUAAUCAUUUAAAUAAUAAAUAUGAUUUUUUAAGAAUUUUCUAAUGAUGAUAUCACUCAUCAUGUGAUACAUGAAAAUAUAUGACUGACUAAAUAUCUCAACCCUUAGUUCUUAAUGUCCAAAAGAGUAAACUGGAAACUCUAAUAACAUUAGGGACUGAAGUGAGCAAAAAAAACUUUAAGGAUCAAAAUAGAAAAAGUGAUAUACUUUAAGGGUUAAAAUGUGAAUUAAGUAUUAAAAGAUUGAGGAUUGUUAAGGUAAUGUAAAAUAACUUGGAAAAAGGAAAUAUUCUAAAUAUAAGACAAAUUUGAUGAUUUUGGGACGAUAUGUUACGUUAUAAAUGGGUGUUUUAAAAUAUAAAUACAUGUUUUAUUAAUAACUGGAUGUGAUCAAAUUACAAGUUAGAAUAAAUUUAAACUAUAAACUAAUUAAUUAAACUAACAAAUUACGAGUUAUAAUCACUGCAAGAUUUUGUAGCAAGUCUGACCCCUGAAAUAAAUAAUUGAUUAAAUGAGCCGAAAUUGAGCAAAUUUAAUUGCACAAUAUAUAACCAUUCAACACAAAAUAAAACUCAAUAAUAUAGUAAAGAACAUGUGAAUUUUUACGUGAAAAACCCCCCUUAAAGUAAAGCAAAGGGUAAAAAUCACGGGACUUGAAAGUCCACUAAAAAACUUCACUAUACCCAAAAGGUUUAUUACAACAUCACAAUACAAAACCACAAUAAAAAAGCAUACAACUCCAACAAAACUAUUUGGAGAAAAGUAAAGGAUAUCACCCAAAUAUGACUUUAACAUUGAAAAUGAAAAACCUAAAGAUACAAAAUCCGUAUGAAAAAUCCAACCUUGCACAAUCGAAAUAGCCAUUGUCCAAAAAUCAGCUCAGACAGACAUCAGAUAAACCCCUGAAUUGGUGAACUAAAGCUGUCUUUUAUAUUAUAGCUCUUCAAUGUCGAAAAGGAGAACCAUUCACUCUGACUCCAGCCCUAUCAGCAUCUCCCUUCAUAUCCAAAGAGAAUUCAGAAAGUUCAUGAGUGGAUACUGGAAAAUUCAUGGAACAUAAGCAGUACUGGUUUUAACAAAAGGUUAAAACAUGAAAAUCCGUCCUUAAAUUAGAAGCAAUAAAAUAGCAGAAAGAAAGAAUAAAGAAAGAAAUAUAAGAGACUUGUAGUUCCAAACUAAAUGAAUGGUUUAUGGUGUUAUGUUAUUCAAUUUAGUUGUUCAUUGCAAAUGACUAUAUAUAGAAAGAGACUUACCAUAUUCACUAAAUCUUUAUCAAAUCAACACUUAAAAGCCAGUUUGUAAAUUGCAAAGAUAAUCAUAUCAUAGAAUGAAGUGUCAUAAAUUGCAUGAGAAGGAAAUCAAAGUCUUGCAAGAAACUUCCUCAUUGAUCACAACUUAACAUCAGUUCUUGAAAGGAGACACAAAUGCAAUGCAAGACAAGAUACAAACUUCUGAUUAGAAUCCAAAGAAAGGUGAAUUUGUUGUCAAUCACAAAAGAACCAAUCACAAUUCCAAUUCAAAGCUGGUCUUUAUUGGUUGCAUGAUCUAUGAUUCUCAAAUACAAAAGAAUAAAAGUUUGAAAAUAAAAGAAAUUUCCUAAUAAAGCUAGUCGAAGUUAUUCUCCAAGGUCAUACACCACUUACCUUAAAUAUGUCACAAUAUGAUUUGAGAAGUUUGUAAGAGAGGGCUGCAAUGAUAUAUUUUUGUAGGAAACACAAGAAGAAAAAUAUGAUAUCCAUGAAACCUUUAUCAAAAUUUAAGUUAAAAAUAUGAGAUAUGAGAAAAGGGACUUAUGAUAUCCAUGGAAUUUUUGAUCAAGGCAAAAUCUAAAGGCAUCAUAUCUUAAUUUUCUUGGAAAGGAAAUAGAAGCACAACUUACUUUUGUGUCCACACAUUCAAUUCAUAAUUUGGUUCUCAAACAGAUAGUCUCAAAAGUCUCCAUCCAUAAACUGAAUACUGCAACAUUAUGCCACAAAAGCCAAAAAAAAUUUAAAACAAGGCAUUAUAUCAGACUAAAUCAAGUAGCUUAGGAUGAGAAGAACAAAGGGUAUAACUGAACUUACCUCCGACGAUUAAUAUAUAUACGUGGAAUGUGGGAAAUCUUGGACCAUUCAGGGCCACUCUCCCUCUCACAUCUUGUCUCUAAUUCAGGACAAUUUUCAAUGUCAACCCUUACUAAUUUGGAGAGGCUUCGCAUAACAUCUACAGGAGGCAGGUACAUGAGCUUAUUGCAUGAAUGGAUUCUCAGAUGCUUUAGAGAAGAGAGGUUUCCCAACCACUCUGGAAAGGCUUCUAUUCCUUGAAACCCUUCUAUCGUCAAUUCUUGGAGGGCAGUGAAGAAAUGAAGUUGGUGAGGAAGACACUGUAGCUUUUCCCAACCAAUCAGUUUUAGAACUAGAAGGGAGGCACUGAGAUAUUGAAUGGAACUGGGCCAUGGGAAUUCUUGCAACUCUUCUGAGAAACCACCGAUAGCUAAAUCUCUCAAGCAGUUAAGCCUACCAAGGCUGUCAUCUUGAAUCCAUGUCCGAUCAGGCAAAUUUAAUAUACUUAGCCUGCAAAGGGAAACGUUGGAUUGCAACAUAUUUGGUAGCAGACGACUCCAUUCUUCGCCUACUUUCUUAAAUUCUAAUUCUGUGAGAGAAGAGGGUCCAUCUAAACUUGGAAUGGGCUUCAAAUUAGGGCAAUCACGUAUCUUCAAUUUUUUAAGGGAUGACAGUGGUGCUUUUAGUGGAAAGCUCUCCAAUUUGUCACAGCGAUCAACUGAUAGAUUUUGAAGAGAUGAAAGGAUCGAACUUAAAUUAGGACAAUCUUCUAGAACUAAUACUCUGAGACAAGAGGAGGUAGAUAAUCCAUCUCCAAUCUUGCUUAAUUUUUCACAACUGGAAAUGAGAAGCCCUUCAAGAGAUGAACACCCUCCAGUAAUUGGAAGAACUUCCAAUUUGUCGCAAUUAAGAACUGACAGAUAUUGAAGACAGGAAAAUCCUUCCAAAUUUGGGAUCGAACUUAAAUUAGGACAAUAGUUUAAAUGUAAUUCUUUGAGACAAGUGGAGGUUGAUAAUCCGUCUCCAAUCUUGCUUAAUUUGUCACAUAAUGAAAUGCGAAGCAUUUCAAGAGAAUAACAUUGUCCCGUUAGCGGAACACUUUUCAACAAGGGACAACCCAAAAUCUUCAGCCGCUCCAAGCAAGGAAACAUGAUCGUCUUUGUUUCAGCCAUUGCUGUCCAUUCUUCUAGACUUUCCAUCCUACUUAAGGUGAAUUUUUUCAAGGCAGGAAACACCUUGAUCACCUUAUUCAUACCAUCAACACCUUCGUUGCAAUAAAAUUCAUUACCCAUGCGUUUCACUUUCUCCAGAUUUCUCAACUUAAGAUACUGGAGAUUGUGCAAUUGGCCCAGAG
rnacentral:lncRNA from 1 species